UUACGGCCAUAGCACGUUGAAACACCGGUUCUCAUGCGUUCAACGGAGUUAAGCAACGUCGAUCCUGGUCAGUACCUAGAUGCGUAACCACUUGGAAAUACGAGUUG